ensembl:lncRNA
CCCACGUACGCCCAAAUGCUGAGAUUAACCACUGGUUAAUCAAAACCAUCACUUUUGGUUUUUAGAGUUUGUUUUCAAGUGAAAUGGUAUUUUAACAUACUAAUUAUCAGAAUCUCAGUAAAUGGCAAACCUAUAAAGUUAAGUAUCAGUGUGUAAAUAAACAUGGACGAAAACAGUUUCAUAAGGUUUCUAGCAGGAAACAUUUCUUGCUGAACUGGUAUGGUACUCAUUUAGCCUAAUCUCGCUGUAUCUCUAUAACAACAAUCAAGAGUUUUCAGCUCCACACCCAAAUUGUGAUGGUUACAGUUGUUAUAUCACAGUGUUUGCUUUUUUAUAUUAAUCUUGAUAAACCUUGUAGUAAUGCUGAAUACAGUAGUUCUAGGCUUUAAAGCAUUAGAGAUUAUUCUUAAUGAAUGUGCUUUUGUAGGGCAGCUAUUGUCUAUGUCAAGAGCCAAAGUGAUGCCAAGGCAGCAGUUAAAGACCUAAAUGGGUGUUCCCUUCAAGGCCACACUGUCCAGUUGGUGCGGCUCUGUGGGCUUGGCUCAGCUGAUCCUAAACUGAUCAGUGAUAAGUCCCGGAGCACCUCAGAAACCUAUGAAGCUGAAACCGCAGGGGGUGGACUGGGAGCUAAAGGUGUAACCUACAGUUCAUCACAUGGAUCCGCCAGAGGAUCGUAGAUGCCCUGCUGGAACUGUGGGCCAAGCAUCAGGGUUUCUUCAGUGGGAUUCCUUUGAGAUCUAUAGUGGAUAUGACCUCCGAGCUUCUCACACAGGCCUCUACCCCAUCAUGUAUUUGAGUUUGUGCUGUUUUAAGCAGUGAUAAAGGUCUUGUAAAUAGUUCCCUGACCAGUAUGACUGGAUUUCAGUUGUCAGUUAAAUUUUUGCAACUCAUUUUUAUGUUAUGUACAGCCAUUUCGUUGUAAUUCUUUAAUCAGAGCAUUUCCUUCUCUUGGAACUGGAGUAAAUUUUGAGUUAAUUUCAGGUUUUCAUCUCUGCUGUUGUCAGUUAUGAAUAAAAGUUUCCCUGUUUCCUGAAUAAAGCA